AGUGAACGCUGGCGGUAGGCCUAACACAUGCAAGUCGAACGGCAGCACAGUAAGAGCUUGCUCUUACGGGUGGCGAGUGGCGGACGGGUGAGGAAUACAUCGGAAUCUACUUUUUCGUGGGGGAUAACGUAGGGAAACUUACGCUAAUACCGCAUACGACCUACGGGUGAAGGCAGGGGAUCUUCGGACCUUGCGCGAUUGAAUGAGCCGAUGUCGGAUUAGCUAGUUGGCGGGGUAAAGGCCCACCAAGGCGACGAUCCGUAGCUGGUCUGAGAGGAUGAGCAGCCACACUGGAACUGAGACACGGUCCAGACUCCUACGGGAGGCAGCAGUGGGGAAUAUUGGACAAUGGGCGCAAGCCUGAUCCAGCCAUACCGCGUGGGGGAAGAAGGCCUUCGGGCUGUAAAGCCCUUUUGUUGGGAAAGAAAAGCAGCAAGUUAAUACCCCGCUGUUCUGACGGUACCCAAAGAAUAAGCACCGGCUAACUUCGUG
rnacentral:rRNA from 1 species